rnacentral:rRNA from 1 species
UACGGAGGGUGCAAGCGUUAUCCGGAUUUACUGGGUUUAAAGGGUGUGUAGGCGGACUUUUAAGUCCGUGGUGAAAUCUCCGGGCUCAACCCGGAAACUGCCAUGGAUACUAUUGGUCUUGAAUGUUGUGGAGGUGGGCUGAACGGGUCAUGUAGCGGUGAAAUGCUUAGAGAUGACCCGGAACACCGAUUGCGAAGGCAGCCCACUACGCAACUAUUGACGCUGAGGCACGAAAGCGUGGGGAUCAAACAGG